UUUGGUAUAUUAAUAGUUUAUUGGAGCAUCUCUUGAAAAUAAUGAACAAAAACGGAGAUAGAAGCCACAUUAAAGAUCCGUAGAGGUCACUUGAACUCAGGACAGCAGAUGUUUGUGUCAUCACAAACUAUUCAUCACAAUUUCUAGUGAUUACUGUUUUACAACAAAUCUUAUGUUAACAUUAAAAUAAGUAAAUAAGCUGAAAUACAAACUGACGUCAAAUUCUCUGAAGUACGGAAGCCCAGAGCGACCAAGACAUUGAGUAAGGCUAACAGUUCCUGGGUUCCACAGCUCCUCCAAAGUGUCUUACUGUUUCUUUAAGACAAAGUCUAUACAGAGAGCCUAGAAAUGAUGAAUAUAUUCACAAUUUUUGUGCCAUCUCUUUAAAAUGUAACUUUAAAAUAAACACCUGAGCCAUAUACAGACAGAGUGACAACAACACUUGGACCCAAGCUUUAUAUAAAGCGUUAUUAUGGUUAAACCAAAGCCAUAUGAAGGUGGGGUUGUUCGAGUUAGUCCAGUUAAACCAGUUAUUCUAGCGCCAUGUACAGGUGGAGUUGUUCCAGGUAGUCCAGAGACAUGUACAGGUGGAGUUGUUCCAGGUAGUCCAGAGACAUGUACAGGUGGAGUUGCUCCAGUUAGUCCAGAGACAUGUACAGGUGGAGUUGCUCCAGUUAGUCCAGAUUGUACAUGUGGAGUUGUUCCAGUUUGUCCAGAGACAUGUACAUGUGGAGCUGUUCCAGGUAGUCCAGAGACAUGUACAGGUGGAGUUGUUCCAGUUAGUCCAGAUUGUACAUGUGGAGUUGUUCCAGUUAGUCCAGAGACAUGUACAUGUGGAGCUGUUCCAGGUAGUCCAGAGACAUGUACAGGUGGAGUUGUUCCAGUUAGUCCAGAUUGUGCAUGUGGAGUUGUUCCAGGUAGUCCAGAGACAUGUACAGGUGGAGGUGUUCCAGUUAGUCCAGAGACACGUACAGGUGGAGCUGUUCCAGGUAGUCCAGAGAGAUGUACAGGUGGAGUUGUUCCAGGUAGUCCAGAAAAACAUACAGGUGGAGUUGUUCCAGGUAGUCCAGAGACAUGUACAGGUGGAGUUGCUCCAGUUAGUCCAGAGACAUGUACAGGUGGAGUUGCUCCAGUUAGUCCAGAUUGUACAUGUGGAGUUGUUCCAGUUUGUCCAGAGACAUGUACAUGUGGAGCUGUUCCAGGUAGUCCAGAGACAUGUACAGGUGGAGUUGUUCCAGUUAGUCCAGAUUGUACAUGUGGAGUUGUUCCAGUUAGUCCAGAGACAUGUACAGGUGGAGGUGUACCAGUUAGUCCAGAGACACGUACAGGUGGAUGUCGGCGUGCACUUUGUCGGAGGUUUCAGGAUACAGUAACACGAAAUAACAGAGAUGAUGCCAGACUAACUUCAAAAAGGAAACAUGCAUUGUUAAGGUAAACCUAGCAUCAGGGGUUGAAAUAGUUUGGAGGUCAGGUCCAACUCUGCGAGGUGAGAGUUGAUUGACAGGUUUGAGAUUGGUUGAUUAGAGAACCAAUCAGAGAGGAGCAGCCGGUUGUUCAGGAGUUGCCGGAGUUCCGGAAUUCACCAUUCUCUGUGAUCUGCAGAGACGAGGCGUUGCUUGGAGACAGGCCGUUCCUCUGUGAUGUCACUGCGUACCGCUCCUUCAGUUGAGUCACAGCAGCCAUCAGACGACUGUUAGCUGCAUCCAGACUGGAUAUCCUCUUCUCCUGAGAGACAGACAGGCAGAGAGACAGACAAGAAGGGGUCAGCUCAUUACAAUAAAACACUGACUGGAUAUCCUCUUCUCCUGCGAGACAGAAAGAUAGAAAGGUACCUGCGCCUCAAUGAUCUUCUGUUUGGAGUCCACCACAGCCUGCAUGUCAGAGUGAUCCUUCUUCAGCUCCUCCUCCACUGCCAUCAACCUACAAAGGUCAUAGGUCAGACCAGUGAGUAGAGACAGGUGAGUAGAAAGGGAUAGAUAAGGGAGACAGACAGGUGAGUAGGUGAGUGAGACGGACAGGUGAGUGGAGAGAGACAGGUGAAACGGACAGGUGAGUGAGACCGACAGGGGAAACAGACCUGCUGAUUAUGCUGUUCAUCUGAAGAUCUUUAUCAUCCUGCAACCGCCUCAGUCGUCCCUCUGUGUCCUCCAACCGCACCUGAAACACACACACACACAGAGUCACGAGUCUCAAGUACGAAGUUACAGUAUUUGAAUGUUGAAAGAGCUGGGAGGUCGAGUCAUUCCCAGUGAUAAUGCAGGAGUGACUCCUGGUGGAUCAGGUCUCAGGUUACACACCUGGUACUCCUGUAGCAUGCGCUGGUUCUGCUGAUCCUGGACCAGCAGUCGGGCCUCACACUCGUCCUGCCUCAUCGCAGCAACUCGCAACUUCUCCUGCAGCAAGGCAAUCUCCUGCUGGUACUGCACACACACACACACACACAAGAGUCAGAGCCAGUAGAACCAGUAGAACCAGUAGAACCAGUGGUCUCUUACCUUCUCUACCAGGGCGUCGUCAUGGCGAUCAUCCUCUGCCUCACCGUAGGAGGAGGCGGAGUUCAUGUUGAGCAGCCAGGCGGCAGUCCGGUCCAAAGCACAUGGAGAAGGGGCCUGAGCACAGAGACAUUUACACACUGUUACAGCAGUAGCGAGGGGUUAAAGGUCAGAGUAGGUUACCAUGGUUAGGGCAGCGCGCAACACCUUGGCAGUGGGUCGUUGUUUCUCAGGGCUGUCUCCCUUAGAUGACGACGAUGUCUGUCUAAGUCGCGACUGGCCACUGCUCGGCCAAUCGGGACUCGAUGACAUCAUGCUCCCGGAGGUAGGGCGAGUAGGGUGGAUGAUGCCUGCGCCGCCGCUCAGCAAGCUGGGCGGAGUGCGACCUCGAGGAGGUCCUGGAGGAGCACAGGAGGGUGGAGGAGGCUGGUCUAUGCGUCUCUGAGGACCCGAGGUGGUCUGACGAGAUGGGGCGGGGCAACCUGAGGGCCAACAACAUGAUGACAUCAUCAGGAGAGAAAAGCUGAAGAACAAGCGACCAAUCACCUGUCGUACCUGUGAGUGUGUCCGACAAAGCUCGUCGGGAGUAUUCUUCUCCACUGCUGCUGCUGGACAUGGCCGACACCCUCUCCCCCCCCGCCCAGCGCCACAGACAUCUGUGUAAGAAACGCUGGUUUGGUUGCAAUGGUGUUUCUGUCUUCGGGAUUUCCCUGCGAACCCGCCGAGCCGUCCGAGGGCGUGGCAUCCAUUGGUUGCCUCGGCGACGUGGCAGUCAUGUGAUACACGGGGUUCUGGAAGGAGAGGGGGAGGAGCCCCGUCCUGAGCUGCCAUUGGCCGUCGUCGAGGCCGUCGCUCGGGGAAGAGUCCUGCAAGUCGACCAGAGACAGACUGCGGCUCUCAUUGGUCAGAUCAGGCCCCUCCCUCCUGCUCCCAUUGGCCAUCUCAAAACCCGCCUCGUUCUCAUUGGGCUCAGAGUACGACGAGCUCACUGCCGGAGAGCCCUGCUGACCUGCAGGAAGGGACAUCAGCACAACACCAGAGGUCAGAUUCAGAGGUCAAAGAUCACAGACCGAGAUUGGGUCUCAUGGAUAGAGGUCAGAGGUCACCUGACGUGGGCUGUAGACAGGAUCCUUUGGUGACAAAGAACAAGUCUUUGUUCUCUGGAGUCGGAGAGGGAAGUCUGGUGAAGUCUACCAAACUACACACGCACACGUAUACAUGCACAGACACACACAAAAACAAAGACAUGAAGACACUCAUGAGACAGGUUACUUGAUAAAAAAAUGCAUCACUGUAAUUACUAAAACUAGUUAUUACUACGGUGUGUUAUUAAAGUUUCCCUUUUCACAGUUUGUUUGUAUAGUAUGUUAUUACAAGAGUGUGUUGUUACUACAGCUUGUUAUUAUUCGUUAUUUCAAGUGUGUUAUUACGGCCGAGUGUUGUUGUCAAGUUCCCCUUUUAUAAACGUGUGGAGAUUCCCCACUUGAUAAGAAUUAACGCAUUUACCUGAAUAUUCUAACUGGAUUUCCCUCAAUGACCAACAACUCUUCCUUUUCCUCAUUCUAUUUAAGUGUCAGUUGAAGCCAGUUAACAUAAUUUACUGUGCUUCCACCAACAUGCUGUUAGUAAACAGAAGUAGUCCCCGGACAAUCAACCAAUGUUUGGACAACAGUUAAUUACCGGGGGGCUACAAUCCCCGUGACGUACAAUGCCGCACUAACCGGACUGGCCGUACGCUUCAAUACAAAGACUCGCCGCUGUGGGAGGGUUCAUCGCUCUUACCGGCUGCCUCUGCUUUGUAGAUCUGAUCCAUCCGUCAGUGCGGUGCUGUCUAACGAGAUUCUCACCUGUCCCCGCUGGUUACAUUAGCCCCGCCCUGUUUCCUUCCAGACUGUUUUACUACUUUUAUUUGGAAUUACCUUUCAUCUGUUUUAGUUGUAAUGAAACCCUGUCUGACUUGACAGUUGUUUUAUUUUGUGUUAAUACUAUAGUGCUGUUAUUACAGUGUGUUAAUACUACAGUGUUGUUAUUACAGUGUGUAAUAACAGUGUGUUAAUACUACAGUGUUGUUAUUACAGUGUGUUAAUACUACAGUGUGUAAUUACAGUGUGUUAAUACUACGGUGUUGUUAUUACAGUGUGUAAUAACAGUGUGUUAAUACUACAGUGUUGUUAUUACAGUGUGUUAAUACUACAGUGUUGUUAUUACAGUGUGUUAAUACUACGGUGUUGUUAUUACAGUGUGUAAUAACAGUGUGUUAAUACUACAGUGUUGUUAUUACAGUGUGUAAUUACAGUGUGUUAAUACUACGGUGUUGUUAUUACAGUGUGUAAUAACAGUGUGUUAAUACUACAGUGUUGUUAUUACAGUGUGUUAAUACUACAGUGUUGUUAUUACAGUGUGUAAUAACAGUAUGUUAUUUCUAGAGUGUCUUAUUACAGUCCUAUCAAAGGCUGUUAUUACAUUAUUAUUGUGUGACUGGUGAAUCUGAACUAACCUUUAAAACCUUUAAAACAAUGUUGCUUGCGUCUGUAUAUGACAUGAACCAAGCUGAAAGCUUGAUACUAACCCUCCAUCCAGUCCAACGCCGCCCUGUAGGCCAAUAGAGGGAUUACACGCUGCAAGAGGAGGGGAGAGAGGCGGGGACAGUGGGGGCGGGGAAACCACACGCUGAGGCUCUGGAGACGACAUGGACACGCCCCCAGGGUUAGCCAGCGCCACUGAAACCUCUCUGAUUAUCCGAGGUAGAGGGCCGAGCUUCGACAGGCACGC
ensembl:lncRNA